rnacentral:rRNA from 1 species
UAGGGAAUCUUCGGCAAUGGACGGAAGUCUGACCGAGCAACGCCGCGUGAGUGAAGAAGGUUUUCGGAUCGUAAAGCUCUGUUGUUAGAGAAGAACGUUGGUAGGAGUGGAAAAUCUACCAAGUGACGGUAACUAACCAGAAAGGGACGGCUAACUACGUGCCAGCAGCCGCGGCAAUACGUAGGUCCCGAGCGUUGUCCGGAUUUAUUGGGCGUAAAGCGAGCGCAGGCGGUUCUUUAAGUCUGAAGUUAAAGGCAGUGGCUUAACCAUUGUACGCUUUGGAAACUGGAGGACUUGGGUGCAGAAGGGGAGAGGGGAAUUCCAUGUGUAGCGGUGAAGUGCGUAGAUAUAUGGAGGAACACCGGUGGCGAAAGCGGCUCUCUGGUCUGUAACUGACGCUGAGGCUCGAAAGCGUGGGGAGCAAACAGG